UUAAGGCUUUUAUCGUUUAACUCAUUCGGUAUAUCGUUGUUUGUCGUUAUUGACAUGGAGACGUGCGGUAAUGACAUGAACUGGUGAGUAAUCUCUUGAUUCUGCAAUACCACCUAGGGAUAGGGGUAGGACGAUCAAUUGCGCUAACUUCUGUUUAUAAUGCGGUAUUAAUUACUAGGGGAGGCUAGGGAUAGCAAGCCGGUAAUUGAUAUUAGGCCCUUUUCGCCGAGGGAUCGGGUUAAGGGGAGGCUAAGAAAGUCGCAUAACAAUUGAAUCAAUCUAAUAAUCAAGGGUAGUAUGUAAGAGAGAGUGGAAAAGAUGAAAUUGUUAGUACCCAACAACAUUCAUCCAUCCAUUGUUUUCACUUGUCAAUUGAAUCAACAUUCAUUUUGCAUGUUAAUAUUUUUGCUCUCAAACCCAAUUUAUUAAUUUUAAUUUCUCAAGUCUUAUUAUUUUAAUUCACGCGAACGAGGAAGCCAUACAAGUCUCUUGGGAAACGAUACUUGGUCUUACCAUUUAUAUUACUUGUACGAUUUGGUACACUUGCCAAUCCGUCAACAGCCGUGCACUACUCUCCACC
rnacentral:lncRNA from 1 species